GAUGAACGCUGGCGGCGUGCCUAAUACAUGCAAGUCGAGCGAACGGACGAGAAGCUUGCUUCUCUGAUGUUAGCGGCGGACGGGUGAGUAACACGUGGAUAACCUACCUAUAAGACUGGGAUAACUUCGGGAAACCGGAGCUAAUACCGGAUAAUAUUUUGAACCGCAUGGUUCAAAAGUGAAAGACGGUCUUGCUGUCACUUAUAGAUGGAUCCGCGCUGCAUUAGCUAGUUGGUAAGGUAACGGCUUACCAAGGCAACGAUGCAUAGCCGACCUGAGAGGGUGAUCGGCCACACUGGAACUGAGACACGGUCCAGACUCCUACGGGAGGCAGCAGUAGGGAAUCUUCCGCAAUGGGCGAAAGCUUGACGGAGCAACGCCGCGUGAGUGAUGAAGGUCUUCGGAUCGUAAAACUCUGUUAUUAGGGAAGAACAUAUGUGUAAGUAACUGUGCACAUCUUGACGGUACCUAAUCAGAAAGCCACGGCUAACUACGUG
rnacentral:rRNA from 1 species